CCUACGGGCGGCAGCAGUGAGGAAUAUUGGUCAAUGGACGAGAGUCUGAACCAGCCAAGUAGCGUGAAGGAUGACUGCCCUAUGGGUUGUAAACUUCUUUUAUAUGGGAAUAAAAUGUUCCACGUGUGGGAUUUUGUAUGUACCAUAUGAAUAAGGCUCGGCUAACUCCGUGCCAGCAGCCGCGGUAAUACGGAGGAUCCGAGCGUUAUCCGGAUUUAUUGGGUUUAAAGGGAGCGUAGGUGGAUUGUUAAGUCAGUUGUGAAAGUUUGCGGCUCAACCGUAAAAUUGCAGUUGAAACUGGCAGUCUUGAGUACAGUAGAGGUGGGCGGAAUUCGUGGUGUAGCGGUGAAAUGCUUAGAUAUCACGAAGAACUCCGAUUGCGAAGGCAGUUCACUGGACUGCAACUGACACUGAGGCUCGAAAGUGUGGGUAUCAAACAGGAUUAGAUACCCCAGUAGUC
rnacentral:rRNA from 1 species